UGGCGCAGUUGGUAGAGCAUGGUGUUUGCAACGCCAGGGUUGUGGGUUCGAUUCCCAC
rnacentral:tRNA from 1 species